rnacentral:lncRNA from 1 species
AGCUGCUAAGGGCGCUUACCCUCUUUUUUAACAUUUUCCAACUGUUUUUGUAGCUAAGAUGAGCUAAUCACUCCUACUGUCCUGCCUAGCAACAUCCCAUGCUCAGAAGCUGGCUUAGAAGGUCCUUUGUGAGCAGGGCCAACCUCAGCAUAGAACAGCAGCCCUGUGGGGACAAGUGAGAAGCCCGAGCUGCUUCUGGAGAUUAGUGACCGGCUUGAGAGCAAGAGUUGCUGCAGUCCGCUGUCUCUAGGACUGCUCUCCAGAGCAUGGCAGACUCCUCACCACCUACAGUGAAGACAUCCAGAGAAAGAUGAAGUCAGAGGGUGCUGGUGACAGUUUUGUGGGAGCGCUGGCCUUCUACCUGGCUUACUACCCAAAUCUGUCCUUGGAAGAAAUGCUCAAGAGAUCCAAUUUCAUCGCUGCAGUCAGUGUACAGGCCACGGGAACACAGUCCUCUUAUCCAUACAAAAAAGACCUCCCUCUUGCUCUAUUUUGACUACUGCUAACCCCCAAAUAAAUACAAUCUGGAAAGUAAAUGCA